CACCAGCGCCGCGUGCCGGGGCCGGGAGGCUGCGGCGAGCGCGCGCGUGGAGGUGCUGCGGCACCGCCGCCUCCGCCGCUUCGUGCGCCCGGCGGCCGGAGCCCGCGUCCGAAGAGCCGGGGCCUGCGGGGCUUGCGGGGCUUGCGGGGCUUGCGGGGCUUGCGGGGCAGGGCCGGCGGGUGGGCUGGCCGGGGAGAGGCACUCCCCGGGGCCGGAGGCGGGGAGGUCUUCCCCGCAGAGUGGCCGCCAGACGACGGAAAGUUUUUUGCACGCAGCCCUUCCAGCGUGUCCUUCCCUCGCCGGCUCCCCGUCGUCCACGGUGAGGCGCCCCCCACGGAGACCCACCCCCACCGCCGCGGCCCAGUGAGGGGAAGCGGGGCAGGGUUUUCCCCCCUCCCAGCAUCCCAAGCCCGGGAGGGACCCCGGUGAUGACCUCUCCUGCUAGCCACCACUCCCUUGUCCCUUUCUCUCUCCUGUCACGGCGGACCUUGGGACCGUGGAGGAUUCCGCGGAUGCCUUUGGGAGCUGAGACCCGUGGGUAGAUGGAAGUGGUUCUAAAACGCAGGAUAUGCUAGACACUGUGCUUGACAUUUCAUUCCAAAUAUCCAUCCAUCCAUCCAUCCAACAAAUAUUGCCUAUCAUGGACAAGUGCCUUCCACAGAGGAAGACAAAUGAGACCUAGCCCCUUGUAUAGAUGCAGUCUGGUGGUCUCUAUGGAAGAAGGAAAGUGUAAAACUUAUCAACUCCUUGGAAAAACAAGACAAGUGCCCAGCGACUGGCCAGAGCAGUGAACCGUAUGGUCUCACAGAGCUGCGCCUUUUCAUAAGAGGAACCAGAUUCUAGUUUGGAAUGACCAGAAAAAUGUGUCACAGAGAAGAUGGGAUUUGCUCUGCACCUUAGAGAUUGGGGAGGAUGUAUCAUGAGAGAUCACAAGUAGGGAGAGAGGCAGGCAGAGAGAGAG